rnacentral:lncRNA from 1 species
GCUUCCGGGCGCCCAGAGGGGGAACUGGGCGGGACCGCAGCGGGGAGGGGUUCUUGUGCUGGUGUCUCCUGGCCCCGAGCGUCUCGAGGCGUCCUCCAUGCCACCUCGCAAUCGUCGCUUGGGUCAUAUUUUAUUGAAAGAGCCUGUGUGGCCGAAAGGGCUUCUCAGAACCGAGCUGACUCAGGCUUCUGGGAGGGAGUUGCCAGAUGGCAUUAUGCUGCUUAAAAGCCACAUGGUGGAAACAGCGCGAACCUCACCGGAUGCCGGCUGCGAGCUGCUCGAGUGUCGUUUCCUGUAGAAGCGCUGUCACCCCCUUCUGUAGACCUGUCUUUCUGCCAUCCUUACCUCGCCCUUUGCUAAACCAGCCCUCUGAGGCCUUCUCUGUGCUUGUCCGACUGUCGCCGGGCCUCCCUUUGCCUCUUCCCUCAGUGCUGUCAUCUACCCCUCUCUGAAGCCAGAGGGACAAAACGCUCCUUAGACAUCUCAGAGGGAUCUCAUUUCCACCGCAUUGCCAUAACGUGAUCAGAGCCGCGUCCGGCCUGCUCUGUGUUCUAGGCUGUCCGUCAAUCAGGAGGCAUUACUUCUCGGAGUCUCAGGGUUCUUCCGUUUCUUCUGGUGACAAGCUAGUUUUGAGCUUCUUUGGUGAAAGUUACCGAAUAAAUGCCAAGUGUGAUUCACCGAAAUCUUAAUACUUAAAAUGAUAGGCAGAAAGGACCAUUUGAAGACAUCACUCCCCGUGGGUGGGAGCUUAGCUUGGAAAGAGUUCUGUUAAUGGAGUUUUGUUUCCUCCUUAGAAUCACAGAUAACACGUCUGGUUGCAAAGCCCAUAAAGGCCUCUGAGAUUUGCUGAGCUCACAGCCUUGAACAUUAUUUGCAGUUGGAUGUGGAGAGAACAUAACUUAUUAACUAUUGGACGUGAGCCACAUCAGUAAAAGCUAUCAUUCAUUAAGUACUUUCAAAACAGCAGGCUUUGUAAAUGCUUAUGAAGAGUUUCAUUUAAUCCUUA